AUUGAACGCUGGCGGCAGGCCUAACACAUGCAAGUCGAGCGAGCGGCGGACGGGUGAUUAAUGUCUGGGAGACUGCCUGAGGGAGGGGGAUACCUACUGGAAACGGUAGCUAAUACCGCAUACAGUCAGAUUUGCCCAGAUGGGAUUAGCUAGUAGGUGGGGUAAUGGCUCACCUAGGCAACGAUCCCUAGCUGGUCUGGGGGGAUGACCAGCCACACUGGAACUGAGACACGGUCCAGACUCCUACGGGAGGCAGAAGUGGGGAAUAUUGCACAAUGGGCGCAAGCCUGAUGCAGCCAUGCCGCGUGUGUGAAGAAGGCCUUCGGGUUGUAAAGCACUUUCAGCGGGGAGGCGUUACCCGCAGAAGAAGCACCGGCUAACUCCGUGCCAGCAGCCGCGGUAAUUC
rnacentral:rRNA from 1 species